AUGCUAACAACACUUAUGCAGGCCCACUGACACUGAGGCGAGAAUACUGAAAAUAAGAUCGAAUGGGUUCAUUGUUUUUGUGCCAAAAUAUGGAAUAGAAGGACCAGUACACUUGAUGGCGAGAGGACAGAAGGAAGGAGGAAAAUGGAUAGUUGAUGAGCAGCAGCAAAAGAUUAAAAAGAUUGACGGUCAGGAUUCUUACGGCGUUCUUCAGACGGUCAGGAUCCACAUGGAGGUGGUUGAGCCACAGCCAAAUAGGCCCAAGCUCCAGCUUACCCUUAUCUAGUAAACCUCCUCCAAUACUUAUAAUUAUUUUUUUCUUUAAAUUAUCUAGGCCAAGUCGUAGUUGUUUAUGCAGUUAAAAAAACGAAUAGGUGAAAAGACCAUGUCGACUUUAGCUAGCUCUGUUCUCUACUUAUUGCGUCUCCACAGACGCUGCAUUUUGAGCAAUCAAAUUAUGUACUCAGUUGGUUUACAUUGUUACAUGGUUAAUAUAUUUGGAAAAGACUACAUGCAUUGUGCCUUGCUACAAUUUAGCCCUCGAGAGCAUUGAAAUAAUAACUCUUUUAAAACUUU